rnacentral:tRNA from 1 species
GCCGGUGUGGCUCAAUGGAUAGAGCUUCGGCCUGCAGACCGAAGGGUUGUGGGUUCGAUUCUGGUCAAGGGCA